rnacentral:lncRNA from 1 species
UCGAACUCAACACUUUGCACCUCUGUCCUCCAAUUGCUUCCCACUCUCGCAUCUAUAAUUCAUUCUAAUACUUUACUAGUAUUUCCCAUGUGCCUAAUUCACUCACAAACAACAACCUCAAUAAUUAUCAAUUAGAGUGAUUAAAGACAUGACAUUAGCAGCCAAAUUUGCAUUAGUUGAAAUUCAACAUUCUAGAAUAAAGCUAUAAAUAUCAUAAAUAAGGAUCACCAUUUCUCACUUAUUUCAUUCAAUCUCCUUUCUCUCUCUUCUUCGUCUUUCAAUGGCUGCUAUAACCUCCCACCUCGCCAUUCUAUCAAAUCAACACCCUUCCCACUUACAACUCAAGCCCACCACCGUCAGAAUGAGUAUGACUCAACAAACUCGCAACCCACGUCUCCAUUGGGCUUCUUUACAGGCCGACAUCGAGGCCCAUCUUAAAUCUUCCAUUACAAUCAAACAGCCUCUCGAGGUUUUCGAGCCCAUGCAUCACCUUGUUUUCUCUGCGCCAGAAACCACCGUGCCGGCUUUAUGCCUCGCCGCAUGCGAGCUUGUCGGCGGUCAACGCCACCAAGCCAUAUCCGCGGCUUCGGCUUUGUUACUAAUGGAGGCGGCUACUUAUACUCACGAGCAUCUUCCACUCACAGACAGGCCCAAGGCUAAGCCCGAGCCAGCUGUGAAGAAUCAUGUUUUCGGGCCUAACGUGGAGCUUCUAACUGGCGAUGGAAUGGUCCCGUUUGGAUUUGAACUGUUAGCUAGAUCCGACGGUGGAGAAAAUUCGGAACAGAUCUUGCGGGUGAUGGUUGAGAUUUCGCGGGUUGUGGGCUCAACGGGGGUCAUAGAUGCGCAGUACAGAAAAACAAUGGAUACCAGAUCGGACGGUGAGGAGGUAUGCCACGUGGAAGAAAUCAUGCGUAUGGUGGAGAAAUACGAAGGUGAGUUGCAUUCGUGUGCAGCAGUAUGUGGAGGGGUGUUGGGUGGGGGAAGCGAAGAUGAAAUUGAGAGAUUGAGAAAAAUUGGAUUCUGUUUUGGAAUGAUUCAAGGAAUGGCAAAAAGGGGAUUCAAUGAAGGUAAUGAAGUGAAU